GGAAUAUUGGACAAUGGGCGCAAGCCUGAUCCAGCCAUGCCGCGUGCAGGAUGACGGUCCUAUGGAUUGUAAACUGCUUUUGUACAGGAAGAAACACUGGUUCGUGAACCAGCUUGACGGUACUGUAAGAAUAAGGAUCGGCUAACUCCGUGCCAGCAGCCGCGGUAAUACGGAGGAUCCAAGCGUUAUCCGGAAUCAUUGGGUUUAAAGGGUCCGUAGGCGGUCUUGUAAGUCAGUGGUGAAAGCCCAUCGCUCAACGGUGGAACGGCCAUUGAUACUGCAGGACUUGAAUUAUUAGGAAGUAACUAGAAUAUGUAGUGUAGCGGUGAAAUGCUUAGAGAUUACAUGGAAUACCAAUUGCGAAGGCAGGUUACUACUAAUUGAUUGACGCUGAUGGACGAAAGCGUGGGUAGCGAACAGGAUUAGAUACCCGGG
rnacentral:rRNA from 1 species